rnacentral:rRNA from 1 species
GACAGAGGGGGCAAGCGUUGUUCGGAAUUACUGGGCGUAAAGCGCGUGUAGGCGGCUAUGUAAGUCGGGCGUGAAAUCCCACGGCUCAACCGUGGAAGUGCACCCGAAACUGCGUAGCUAGAGUCCUGGAGAGGAAGGUGGAAUGCUUGGUGUAGAGGUGAAAUUCGUAGAUAUCAAGCGGAACACCGGUGGCGAAGGCGGCCUUCUGGACAGUGACUGACGCUGAGACGCGAAAGCGUGGGGAGCAAACAGG